AAGGUUGUAUUUAAGGGAUAUGAUAUUAGUAAUUCAAAUUAAUUGUAAAAGAAUAGGAUUCUUAUUAUAGUAUAGGGUUAUUUUAGUACCUUUUGCAUAAGGGUUUUUCAAGAACUAAUUAUUGAUUUAAUAGCUCGAAUGAAAAGAGGCAAUCAUGUCUAAAUAUAGUAACGUUGUAAAGUUAUUAGUAAAUUCAUGAUAAUAGCUAGAUACUAAUUGCUUUUUCAGAUAUCUAGUUGGUCCAAAAAUGUAUAUAGUACUUUUACUAUAGAUGUAGUAAGUAAGAGUGAUUGGGUUAAGCUGAUUAUUGUAGUAGUGAUUUUAGUUUAAAAAUUAUUUAAUUAAGUAGUUUUUGUAUUUUGCAUCGAAUUAGUUUGUAAUAAAUAUGUUGAUUUUUUUGUUAAAAUUAAUUAUGUUAUUUCAUUGUUUAUAUGGAUCAAUUCCUUUUAAAGAAAGUAUAAUGAUAAAAAUGAGUAGAUUAAUAUGGUUUAUUUUAAGUAAAGGAUUUAGGUUAUUAUUUGAGAUUUAUGGACAUUCUGUUUAAUGAACUCGGCAAAGUAAAUAUUUCUAUGACUGUUUAACAAAAACAUUUCCUUUAGUAUUUAUUAGAGGUAUGCCCUGCCCGGUGUGAGAUAGUAAACGGCGGCCUUAGCGUGAGGGUCCAAAGGUAGCGUAAUCAUUUGGCCUUUAAUUGGGGUCUGGUAUGAAUGGGUUAACAUAGAGAAGCUGUGUCAAAUAGAGUAAAAUUGAAAUUAAUUUCAAGGUGAAGAAGCCUUGAUUUUUAAGAAAGACGACAAGACCCUACGAAGCUUUGUAUUUUAAAGUAUAUUAGAUUAUACUUGAUAUUUUUGUUGGGGUAACAUAGUGAAAAUGUAUUACUAAUUUAUAAUUUAUAACUUAUUAGUUAAGCCUUGUUUUGUGUGAAUAGCUAGUUACUCUAGGGAUAACAGCGCAAUCCUUUAGGAUAGUUGAAAUUGGUUAAAGGGUUUGCGACCUCGAUGUUGGCUUUGGGUUACUUUAAGGUGUAGAAGCUUUAUAAGUGGAUCUGUUCGAUCUUUAAUUCCCAACAUGAGCUGAGUUCAGACCGGCGUGAGCUAGGUCAGUUUCUAUCUUCUUAAAAUUAAUAAUGAGAGGUUUUGUACGAGAGGAAUAUAUCAAUCGGAAUUAUUCUUUUAUAAUUAGUGUUUUA
rnacentral:rRNA from 1 species